CACACCUCUGUGCAUCAGUCCAUGUCCCUGGAGACUUGGCUGGCUCUAAGGGGAGCGACAAGAGGUGUGCGAGUUUGGCAGUCUCGACCUCUAGGUAGUGCUGCCAACCUUCCCUAUGCUGUGUUGGGCCACAGCCUGCUGGGCCUGGCCUAUGGCUCCCAAAGCUAGGGUUUGUAGGGCAACUUUCCCUAGAGAUUGAGUGAGGGCUUCUGUGGAAGCUAAUCCCUGAACUUCCCACACUGUAUCAGGUGCCUGCCUCUCUGCCGCUCACUCAUCUCUCUGGACCUGUCUGCCAACCCUGAAAUCAGCUGUGCCAGCCUGCAGGAGCUCCUGUCUGCCCUCCAGCAGAGGCCCCAAGGCCUCCACUUCCUUGGCCUUUCAGGUGAGGGCUGAGUAUGGUGGCCACCUCUGCCACGCUUUCACAGGCUGAGGCUCAGGGAACUUCUCCUAAGAAGCCAGUAUGAUGAAAGACAGUGUGGAGCAUGACAAGAAAGGGACAGGGGAGACUGGGGUCUUCGCCUCUGCCCAAUCCAGCCUAACCCUCAAGUGUAGACAAUAACAGAAAGGCUCCUCAUCCACAGGGAUCUCCUCAUUCUUGAUGGCAGGAAGAGGAAACCCAGGGUCCAGGUUCAGUGCCACAAUGGGACCCGCCCACCUUCUGGCAGGGGUUGCUUUGACCCUCUCUGUCCUGGCUGUGACAAUGUAGCUUAUUCUGCAACACCAGGGCAGCCCCCACCUGUGUUGUCUGAAGGACAACUCCAAAAGAGGGGCAUUUGGUGAACUGGCCCACCAGCAGCCUGGCAUCCCUAGCUGAGGCCUGGGCAGAAAGGCAGGCUUUGCCCUUCAGGGGACAUAGGCUUGUGCACAAGGGAACCCCUGAGUUCUUCCUGGGCUUUUCACUUCCUGCUUCCACACCUGGCUGGAUUCCUGGCACCUGCGACAUCACGCAGCUUCCCCAGGUUCUGAGGCUACUGGGCUUUCUGGCCAGAGGACCAAGCUCUGAGCCCUCAGGCCCACGACAUAGAGCUCUCCUAAAAAUUCAUUCUAUGGGUGGGUGGGCCAAAGUGUAGGCAUGCUGUACAGUCGGGGUGGGGGUGGGGGUGGCGUCCACCAGUGGGCCCAUCUGCCUGACCAUGGGCCAGGCACGGCUCCUUCCCGCGAUGAAGCAGGACUUUUUUGCCCUCCAGGCUGCACUGUCCAGGGUCCCCUGGGCCCGGGUCUCUGGGACAAAAUCACCAUGCAGCUGCGGGAGCUCCAACUAUGUAGCAGAGGCCUGUGUGCCGAGGACCACGAUGCCCUGCGCCAGCGGCUGCAGAGUCCCAGCUCAUGCACUCUGACCCGGGGCCCCCAGCUCUUCUUCCGGGACUUCUGACCCUGCCCGUCCCCUGCCCAGAAGCCUCAAUAAACGUCUUUGCUGCCUUCUUGGAG
rnacentral:lncRNA from 1 species